GUGCUCGCUUCGGCAGCACAGAUACUAAAAUUGGAACAAUACAGGGAAGAUUAGUAUGGCCCCUGCACAAGUUAUGUAGCACUGUUUGAAAAAAAAAAGAAAAAGAAA